AAAUAUUUAUAAUUGUGGUGGAUAGUCCUUAUUCUACAAAUCAAUUUUAUUGAAUUGUAUUAAACUCAACUAAAAUUUUAAGAUAGUAUCAGAAACUAUUUAAAAUCUUUUGGACCACCUACUACCAAGUCACUGCAAUUGAACCAUACUCGAAUUACACUUCAUAUGUUCAAUCUUAAGUGUGACAGGUGCAUUAAUAAUCUCACAUGAAAUAAAAUAUCACCUUACAAAGUAUAUAAAUAAUGGAUAAUGUUCAAUCUGAAUUUUAUGGAUUAAUUUAGAUCCAAUCCAAAUUACAAGAUUUCAAAUCUCUUGGACAGAGAGAUACAUAUACAUGUAAAAAAAAUUACAACGCCCUUGUUGGUUCCCAUGUAUGCUUAACGAAGAGAAUAAUAUCUACCAAAAAGCUAGGAGCCAAGCUGUGCUUAUCGGAUAUAUAAGAUUAAGAUUAAUCAAAUUCCUCAAAUUCUUAGUAUAAUCCAACACACAGAUUACCCGAACAAAGCCAAAAAGCACAAACAAUCAGGAAAUAGUCACUUAUAAUUAAGCUAUAACCUUAGAUUCCGCCUAAUCUUGCGCUCCCAUUCUCUACACGCGUCACAAGUAUAGAAUGUUUUGUGUACAUUUUUUUAUACCAAUUUUUGUCUCCAAAGAGUGUUGGGUGAAGUCAUAGUCAUAUUUAGUUUUUUUAUUUAUUUUUAAAUAAUAAUUAUAUAGUUGUUCUUUGGAAAUUGCACCGGCCAGAUAGCACGACCCUUGGGAAUAGCUUAAAGAAACGUUGUAGGAGUUGAAUAAGGCCAAAGAAUAAAAUCUAGAAACUCAAGAUUGGACAAGAGGAAAAAAAAAUCUGAUUUUAUUCCUUUUCCAACUAAUAUAUUGCCAUCAAGUUCUUCUCAUUUCGGUUGCACUUCAAAAUUAUGCCAAAAAACGGUAGUUAUUAUGUGCAUUGGGAAGCAUUGAAGUACAAUGACAGCUCUUUUUUCGUCUAAUUUAACUGUCUUACCAAACCGAACUAAUAAUUUAGUAAACAUUAUGUUGUCACAAAUUCUCAAUGCAUGUCUCAUUCAGACAUCCACACAGCGCAUGCCACGUCACGCGUAUCAUUGCUUCUAUAUGGUUAUACUUCUGUCUUAUAUAGUGACAUUAUAUUUUUUUUAAUGAAACAUAUUAUUUAACUAUACAAUUGUUCUAAACUUGUCCUAAAUAAAUAUAUUGUACAUCACUCUCCAAACUAUUAUAUAUUUUUCUAAAUAAUUAAUGUAAUAUAUUGUAUUUUAAAUUAUCAAAAUGACUAAUGAAGAUAAUUUAGUAAAAUUACUCUUAUAAUUUUAUACUUGAUUUUUGUAAAAGAAACUUUAAAUGUUACUUAUACUAAAA
rnacentral:lncRNA from 1 species